CACGGGGUGUCCUGUUUACAGGGCUGAGAUAAAACCCGUUGAACCUGAUCCAGUUCAUACUGGCGAAGGGAUGUCA
rnacentral:ncRNA from 1 species